rnacentral:rRNA from 1 species
AUUGAACGCUGGCGGCAUGCUUUACACAUGCAAGUCGAACGGCAGCACGGGUGCUUGCACCUGGUGGCGAGUGGCGGACGGGUGAGUAAUGCAUCGGAACGUGUCCUGAAGUGGGGGAUAACGCAUCGAAAGAUGUGCUAAUACCGCAUAUUCUCUGAGGAGGAAAGUAGGGGAUCGAAAGACCUUAUGCUUUUGGAGCGGCCGAUGUCUGAUUAGCUAGUUGGUAGGGUAAUGGCUUACCAAGGCGACGAUCAGUAGUUGGUCUGAGAGGACGACCAGCCACACUGGGACUGAGACACGGCCCAGACUCCUACGGGAGGCAGCAGUGGGGAAUUUUGGACAAAUGGGCGCAAGCCUGAUCCAGCAAUGCCGCGUGAGUGAAGAAGGCCUGGUGUAAGAC